UUAUGGCUCAGAACGAACGCUGGUAGCGUGGAUUAGGCAUGCAAGUCGAACGGGAUCGGGGGGUUAGCAAUAAGUCUCCGUGAGAGUGGCGGAUUGGGGAGGAACACGUGAGCAACCUGCCUUGAGUUGGGGAAAACCGUUGGAAACGACGGCUAAUACCGGAUGUGGCGCCUGGCGACAUCGCCGGAGCGCUAAAGGGGGCCCAAAAGGCUCCCGCUCGAGGAGGGGCUCGCGCACCAUCAGCUUGUUGGCGGGGUAACGGCCACCAAGGCGCACGGUUAGCUGGUCUGAGAGGAUGACCAGCCCCACUGGGACUGAGAUACUGCCCAGACUCCUACGGGAGGCUGCAGUCGAGGAUCAUUUGCAAUGGGCGAAAGCCUGACAAUGCGACGCUGCGUGGAGGGAAUGAAGGCCUUCGGGUUGUAAACUCCUGUCAUGGGGGAACAGGCGAGGGGAGUCAAUACCUCCCUUAGUUGAGUGUACCCCAAGAGGAAUUGGCGGCUAACUCUGUGCCAGCCGCUGC
rnacentral:rRNA from 1 species